UACGUACUGUGCGAACGUUAUUCGGAAUCACUGGGCUUAAAGGGUGCGUAGGCGGCCUGUUAAGUAGGGUGUGAAAUGCCAGAGCUCAACUUUGGCAUUGCGCUCUAGACUGGCUGGCUUGAGUGAGAUAGGGGUGUGCGGAACUUCCAGUGGAGCGGUGAAAUGUGUUGAUAUUGGAAGGAACGCCGGUGGCGAAAGCGGCACACUGGGUCUUAACUGACGCUGAGACGCGAAAGCGUGGGGAGCGAACAGG
rnacentral:rRNA from 1 species